rnacentral:lncRNA from 1 species
GUCCGCUGCUCCCCAGCAUACAUUUCUGGAGCAGCCUUAGUCCGGUCGCCCCGCUGAGUCCCGCUAGGCUGCAAGGGCCAAACACACUUUUCCAGUUCCCCACACUGCUCAAUGGUCACAUGCCCAUGCCGCUCCCCAGUCUGGAUAGAGCCCCAUCUCCAGUACUGCUGUCCUCCAGCUCUCAGAAAUCAUGAUGACAGCCACCGCCACUGUCAGCGACUAAGGACUCACAGAACUGAUGAUGCCAGUUUGUCCCUCUGGGCUAGUUUACCUGUGUCAUGAGAAGGACGUCGUGAAACCCGGUCAAUUUGGUUUGCACUUUUCAUAACACGGAUAAUCUAGAUGUAUGUCACCAUUUUAAAAGACGGUUUUAUAUAUAUAUAUAUAUAUAUAUAUAUAUAUAUAUAUAUAUAUACAUAUAUAUAUAUAUAUAUUUCAGCUCUCUAUGGAAGUCUGUUUUGCAUCAAGUGGAUUUUAAUGUUUGUUUUUUAUCCUGUUAGCUCUGGAGUGUUGAACACUGACAGUGAGGAGCCUUUCUUAAUGUUUUCAGUGUAACUAAUAAGGCUGUGAAGCUUUCUAUCGCUUUAAAUCUACAUAUGCUGAGCUCUGCUUGUAUACACGGUAUAACCAGCUGUGCCUUCCUUUGCAUUUAGUUUUAUGUACAUGAACUUGUGUAUUUCUAGUAUUGAGAGGAAAUGUUUGAAGGACGCAUUGGCAUCAAACAGCUCUCAGUAGAGUGCUAUUUUCUCACGUAGACACCAUCAAAGUGUACUUCUAUCACUAAGAACUGCCUUAGGACUUCUUUUGAACUGAAAUCCAGUAAAUACAAUGUCCAAGUAAUGUUUUUAUAAGAAUGAACGAAGCCAUAUUUAGACAAUAAACAUUCUUUAAAGAACAUGUUCCAAAGUGCAUUUUUUAAAAGGAGAACUUUGAGAGGCCAGUGGCUUAGUCAUCUAUAGAGGCCUUUCUAACCCC